UACGGAGGGUGCAAGCGUUAAUCGGAAUUACUGGGCGUAAAGCGCACGUAGGUGGUUUGCUAAGUCAGCUGUGAAAUCCCCGGGCUCAACCUGGGCACUGCAGUUGAAACUGGCAAGCUAGAGUAGGGUAGAGGGGUGUGGAAUUCCAGGUGUAGCGGUGAAAUGCGUAGAUAUCUGGAGGAACAUCAGUGGCGAAGGCGACACCCUGGACUCAUACUGACACUGAGGUGCGAAAGCGUGGGGAGCAAACAGG
rnacentral:rRNA from 2 species